CGCCUGUUUGUCCCGCCGCGGUGGACCUGGCCGUUGCGGCUCGUGGCAUCGGUGCCGGCAGUCCAUCUCCGUCCGCCGCUGUUCGACACCUGCCGCCAAGGUCGACGACCCGCCGCCGUGGUGGUGCUGGCCAUUGCGGCUGCUGCUUUCGGUGGCGGCAGCCUAUCCUCUCCCUCCAUCCCUGUCCGUCGCUGUCGGACGCCUGCCGUCAAGGUCGACGACUUCCGCUGCAUCCCCAUGACAUUUGGAUCUGUGGAGGAGAUCGUACACGAGAGGCACGGCAUUGUCUUCUCCUCCGUCGGCUCCGAGUGCUAAGUCGGUAUCCUCUCCUUCGUGGACAAGAAUCAGUUCGACCUCGCCUGUUCCAUCGUCAUACAGAACAGCGUUGAUUGAACCAUGUUCACAUAAUCAAAUCAAUUAGAUCUCUUCCCCAUUAGGAUCGUUACAACUCGGGAUUCGUUUUUAGAACCAAAUGCCUCUGCUGGCUGUUACUGAAGUGAGGCAUUCGGUACUUUCAUUAUUAACAAGCUUCGUGCAGGCAUUAAGGGAGACGCCUGUUUGGUAGACCAGAUGAGAACGAGAGUCAGGGCCAACAGAUGCAAAACGGGUUCCGUGGCCAGGCUCUCGGUGACCUUAAACGGUGGAAUCGAGCGUAUCUGCUUGGCCUGGCCGAAGGCAUGCAUGCGGGCUGCACCCGCCUGUGCAGGCGCGUACCCACGCGUGCAGGACUCGGUGACGCCUCCUCCACCCUCUCAUUUUUCUCCCUCAUUUUCCUCCUCACAGCCAAAAACUAGGGUUUGGGGAGCCCAUUCACCGCCGGUCCGAUGCCAUUCCACCACCAGUGCCCGCGUCGGUCACCGUCCUCCCCCGCGCUCGUUCUCCACCCACUUUUGGUCGCCAGUCCGGUGGUCGCCAUCGUCCUCCUCCGCCGUCCUCCGCCCCUGUCGUCCUCAACCAAGCUCGUGGUCGCCGUCCUCGUCCUCCGCCCAGAUCCUCCUCCGCCAAGCUCCUCCUCCGUGGUCGCCUCCUCCGCCGGGGUCGUCGGCUGUCGGGCGGCCUCUGUCUCUCAUAGCGAGCGUGGAGGUCGGGGGUGUUUAGCCUUAAGUAACACUUGCUCAUCUGAUUCAAUUCGCUGGUGGAACUAAAAGUCUGGAUUAUUUUUGUUCUUUUAUAAAUUUAGUGCCCUGUCUUUGCAUAAAAAUGCUUACUGCUCUGGUUAAAAGAUUUGAGUUUUGAGGCUCAAAAGAUAGCACAAUCUCAGUGGUUCUCAUGAUUAAUUUAUUCAAACGAACAGAGUAGGGAUCUGGAGUGGCUGCGAGGGGACGAGUUUAGGCGAGUGUGAGUGGUUCAUUUGAGAUAGAUCGCACUGGUGGAGAUGACGAUGUGUUAGCUUCGUCGCAUGUGCCACUCUGAUGAUGUUUUUUAGUCUCUAUUAAGUGAGCUUUGUAGUUGUUAACUACUUGUAUUCACUUCGACAGUUUGAUGGUGUUUGAUUUAUAGCUUAGAGUAACUUUUACAGAUAGCGGAGGAGAGCAACGUCGAUUUGCUGAAGAUUCUGAAGAGUGCAAACACCAUUUUGUAGUGAACAUGGUCAUAUGUUGGCUAAGCUCCCAGUAUGAUCAGAUGAACUGAUGAUGAUGCUUCAUUUUGACCCCCUCAUCUAUGCUUUGCUGCGCAAUCUGACAUGGUUUCUGCUAUUUGAAAGUCUCAAAGAAACUGCUGCUUUCUUGAUGUUCCCUGGUUUCUUGAGCUCCCAGUUGGUGUUGUGAAGAAUAAAAGGUGUGCAGGAAGUUCCUGGAGCAACACCACCCUGAUAUGAUCUAACUAUCAUGGAGAGGUGGUAGUGGGAGUGCGGGACACAAUAUUAGAUAGUUUUAUAUAGCACUACUGGUUAUUGGUUAAGGUGGUAGUGACACCAAAUUGUUUUUUUAGGAAUACAUGGCUAAACUUCAUGGGUAGCAGUGGACACCAGGAAUUUUUUUUUGUAAGAAACAUGGUUACAUGCUGGCUAAGGUGGUAUGGAUGCCAUACUUUUUGGACUAUGCGUAUUUGAACCAAUGGUGGUUAAUGAUGUUGCUUGUAUUUACUACCGUUGUUUUACUGGUGGUUAAUGAUGUC